AGCAGCCGCGGUAAUUCCAGCUCCAAUAGCGUAUAUUAAAGUUGCUGCAGUUAAAAAGCUCGUAGUUGAAUUUCGGGACUAAUAUGUCGGUCGUGCCUCGGUACGUACUGGUUUAUUGGUUUCUCCUUUCUGAAGAACCAUGAUGUCAUUUAUUUGGUGUCGUGGGGAAUCAGGACUGUUACUUUGAAAAAUUAGAGUGUUUAAAGCAGGCUCACGCUUGAAUACAUUAGCAUGGAAUAAUGAAAUAGGACGUUUGAUUCUAUUUUGUUGGUUUCUAGGAUCGACGUAAUGAUUAAUAGGGAUAGUUGGGGGCAUUAGUAUUCAAUUGUCAGAGGUGAAAUUCUUGGAUUUAUUGAAGACUAACUACUGCGAAAGCAUUUGCCAAGGAUGUUUUCAUUAAUCAAGAACGAAAGUUAGGGGAUCGAAGACGAUCAGAUACCGUCGUAGUCUUAACCAUAAACUAUGCCGACUAGGGAUCGGAUGAUGUUAAUUUUUAAUGUACUCAUUCGGCGCCUUAAC
rnacentral:misc_RNA from 1 species